GCCGCCGAAGCCGCCGCCCGGGCCGAGCUAACUCGGCUCCCCGCCCCCUCCCUCGGCCGCAGCACCCCCGCCCCUUAGCUCUCCGCAUGGCUGCCGCCGCGACUCCUCCUCCGCGCAAGAUGGCGAGGGCCCAGCUGCAGCCGCUGAGCCCGCCGCGGCGCCUCUGCCUCUCCUGCUUCGUGGCAGGAGAAAUCCGGGCCGAGGAACCUCCCUGGGGCGAAAAUGGAGGGUAGUGCUUUCCCACCGACUGGGGGCCCGCGGGGGCCCAAGUUGAGGGAAGUUGAAGGGAAAAUACGGGUCCCUUUCUGAAGAGAAAGAAGGGCUGCUUUUUCCACAGCUGAGGAGAAAUGAUCGGGGAAUGGUGGCUGGGAAGAGUACCCCCAGAAUGGAUGUCGGGGGCUUGGGACCCGAGGAGGAUCUGCUUAUUCCUGACCAAGGACCGGGUAGCGACUCGGGGACGGGAGAGCUGACCUGACAUCUCCCGCGGGCCGGGGAAGCUGCUGCAGGACCAAGGGGGUCGCGUCCGUUCGAGCCCCGCGCCUCCGUGCAGGAACGCGCGGAACCACUGGUAAAACAAAAAUCGGAAGCUUGAAAGUUAUCCAGGUCAAGGGAAAAUAAAAACCUGGGUCUCACCCAGUUGACAGAAAAUAUACAGGGCAAUGACGGGACCAUAUGUUGACAACAGAACUCCGACCCACAACCUCUGCUGCAACCAACACGGGAAGCCAAACCACAGCCUCUGCAGUGAUCAGCUUAGAACGAGCAGGAGUCGGUCAUUGACUGCCAGCUUCCCAAAUUUUUGCCCCUGUUACCAACUCGGGACCAAUCAGAGAAAGCCAAAUAUGUUUUUCCCCCCCCAACCAAUCACGUUAGACGCCCGGCUUCUAGUUAGCCCGCCUCCAGCUUCCCCGAGUUAACCUCCAAUCAGAGCAUACCCUGAAGCCUACUCCACCCACCCCCUUUUUUUUUCUUUUUUUU